UCGUCACACUAUCAUUAACUGAAUCCAUAGGUUAAUGAGGCGAACCGGGGGAACUGAAACAUCUAAGUACCCCGAGGAAAAGAAAUCAACCGAGAUUCCCCCAGUAGCGGCGAGCGAACGGGGAGGAGCCCAGAGCCUGAAUCAGCAUGUGUGUUAGUGGAAGCGUCUGGAAAGGCGCGCGAUACAGGGUGACAGCCCCGUACACAAAAGCGCAUGUGCUGUGAGCUCGAUGAGUAGGGCGGGACACGUGGUAUCCUGUCUGAAUAUGGGGGGACCAUCCUCCAAGGCUAAAUACUCCUGACUGACCGAUAGUGAACCAGUACCGUGAGGGAAAGGCGAAAAGAACCCCGGCGAGGGGAGUGAAAAAGAACCUGAAACCGUGUACGUACAAGCAGUGGGAGCACCCUUUGGGUGUGACUGCGUACCUUUUGUAUAAUGGGUCAGCGACUUAUAUUCUGUAGCAAGGUUAACCGAAUAGGGGAGCCGGAGGGAAACCGAGUCUUAAUUGGGCGUUAAGUUGCAGGGUAUAGACCCGAAACCCGGUGAUCUAGCCAUGGGCAGGUUGAAGGUUGGGUAACACUAACUGGAGGACCGAACCGACUAAUGUUGAAAAAUUAGCGGAUGACCUGUGGCUGGGGGUGAAAGGCCAAUCAAACCGGGAGAUAGCUGGUUCUCCCCGAAAGCUAUUUAGGUAGCGCCUCGUGAAUUCAUCUCCGGGGGUAGAGCACUGUUUCGGCUAGGGGGCCAUCCCGGCUUACCAACCCGAUGCAAACUGCGAAUACCGGAGAAUGUUAUCACGGGAGACACACGGCGGGUGCUAACGUCCGUCGUGAAGAGGGAAACAACCCAGACCGCCAGCUAAGGUCCCAAAGUCAUGGUUAAGUGGGAAACGAUGUGGGAAGGCCCAGACAGCCAGGAUGUUGGCUUAGAAGCAGCCAUCAUUUAAAGAAAGCGUAAUAGCUCACUGGUCGAGUCGGCCUGCGCGGAAGAUGUAACGGGGCUAAACCAUGCACCGAAGCUGCGGCAGCGACACUGUGUGUUGUUGGGUAGGGGAGCGUUCUGUAAGCCUGUGAAGGUGUGUCGUGAGGCAUGCUGGAGGUAUCAGAAGUGCGAAUGCUGACAUAAGUAACGAUAAAGCGGGUGAAAAGCCCGCUCGCCGGAAGACCAAGGGUUCCUGUCCAACGUUAAUCGGGGCAGGGUGAGUCGACCCCUAAGGCGAGGCCGAAAGGCGUAGUCGAUGGGAAACGGGUUAAUAUUCCCGUACUUGGUGUUACUGCGAAGGGGGGACGGAGAAGGCUAUGUUGGCCGGGCGACGGUUGUCCCGGUUUAAGCGUGUAGGUGUGUGUUCCAGGUAAAUCCGGUUCACUUUAACACUGAGGCGUGACGACGAGGCACUACGGUGCUGAAGCAACAAAUGCCCUGCUUCCAGGAAAAGCCUCUAAGCAUCAGGUAACAUCAAAUCGUACCCCAAACCGACACAGGUGGUCAGGUAGAGAAUACCAAGGCGCUUGAGAGAACUCGGGUGAAGGAACUAGGCAAAAUGGUGCCGUAACUUCGGGAGAAGGCACGCUGACACGUAGGUGAAGUGAUUUACUCAUGGAGCUGAAGUCAGUCGAAGAUACCAGCUGGCUGCAACUGUUUAUUAAAAACACAGCACUGUGCAAACACGAAAGUGGACGUAUACGGUGUGACGCCUGCCCGGUGCCGGAAGGUUAAUUGAUGGGGUCAGCGCAAGCGAAGCUCCUGAUCGAAGCCCCGGUAAACGGCGGCCGUAACUAUAACGGUCCUAAGGUAGCGAAAUUCCUUGUCGGGUAAGUUCCGACCUGCACGAAUGGCGUAAUGAUGGCCAGGCUGUCUCCACCCGAGACUCAGUGAAAUUGAACUCGCUGUGAAGAUGCAGUGUACCCGCGGCAAGACGGAAAGACCCCGUGAACCUUUACUAUAGCUUGACACUGAACAUUGAGCCUUGAUGUGUAGGAUAGGUGGGAGGCUUUGAAGUGUGGACGCCAGUCUGCAUGGAGCCGACCUUGAAAUACCACCCUUUAAUGUUUGAUGUUCUAACGUGGACCCGUUACCCGGGUUGCGGACAGUGUCUGGUGGGUAGUUUGACUGGGGCGGUCUCCUCCUAAAGAGUAACGGAGGAGCACGAAGGUUGGCUAAUCCUGGUCGGACAUCAGGAGGUUAGUGCAAUGGCAUAAGCCAGCUUGACUGCGAGCGUGACGGCGCGAGCAGGUGCGAAAGCAGGUCAUAGUGAUCCGGUGGUUCUGAAUGGAAGGGCCAUCGCUCAACGGAUAAAAGGUACUCCGGGGAUAACAGGCUGAUACCGCCCAAGAGUUCAUAUCGACGGCGGUGUUUGGCACCUCGAUGUCGGCUCAUCACAUCCUGGGGCUGAAGUAGGUCCCAAGGGUAUGGCUGUUCGCCAUUUAAAGUGGUACGCGAGCUGGGUUUAGAACGUCGUGAGACAGUUCGGUCCCUAUCUGCCGUGGGCGCUGGAGAACUGAGGGGGGCUGCUCCUAGUACGAGAGGACCGGAGUGGACGCAUCACUGGUGUUCGGGUUGUCAUGCCAAUGGCACUGCCCGGUAGCUAAAUGCGGAAGAGAUAAGUGCUGAAAGCAUCUAAGCACGAAACUUGCCCCGAGAUGAGUUCUCCCUGAGACUU
rnacentral:rRNA from 1 species